AUAUAAUAAUUCGAUCAAGCACAUAAGGUAGCUGGGCUUAGGCAACGGGAAACCGUGGGACGAAA
rnacentral:ncRNA from 1 species